rnacentral:sRNA from 1 species
GGAUGGGCGAAUUGGAGGUGGAUGAGAACCACCGCUGGUUCGACAACGAGGCGCAGCCUCGUUGCGUGCGCCGCAGGCGCAGCCCGCAGGGCCAAGGCGCGCAGCGCCGCAGCCAUCCACCUCCCUCCACCA